rnacentral:rRNA from 1 species
UAGUGAACCAGUACCGUGAGGGAAAGGUGAAAAGAACCCCGGGAGGGGAGUGAAAAGAAUCUGAAACCGUAUGCCUACAAAAAGUCAGAGGGCGUUAAAGCCUGAUGACGUGCCUAUUGAAGAAUGAGCCGGCGAGUUAUGAACACAUGCGAGGUUAAGGAGAAGAUCCGGAGCCGAAGCGAAAGCGAGUCUUAACAGGGCGACAGUAUGUGUUUGUAGACCCGAAACCCGACGAUCUAGCCAUGAUCAGGAUGAAGUAAGGGUAAAACCUUAUGGAGGUCCGAACCGACGUUCGUUGAAACGCCCGCGGAUGAAUUGUGGCUCGUGGUGAAAUUCCAAUCGAGUCGGGUAAUAGCUGGUUCUCCCCGAAAUAGCUUUAGGGCUAGCCUUGGGACAUUGUUUAGUGGGGGUAAAGCACUGAAUAUGAGCGAGCCGCGCCAAGCGGUAUCAAUCAUAAUCAAACUCUGAAUCCCAUUAGAUGUACCCCAGGAGUCAGACUACGGGAGAUAAGUUCCGUGGUCAAGAGGGCAACAGCCCAGACCGCCGAUUAAGGUCCCUAAAUUCACGCUAAGUGUCAAAGGAUGUAGAGAUACUCAAACAGCUAGGAUGUUGGCUCAGAGGCAGCCAUCAUUUAAAGAAUGCGUAACAGCUCACUAGUCAAGUGUCUCCGCGCCGAAAAUUUACCGGGGCUAAGCGUGAUACCGAAAUCGCGGAUGAAUCCUAAAAAUUCGUGGUAGGGGAGCGUUCUGUUUGCAGUGAAGCCAUAUCGUGAGGAGUGGUGGAGCGUACAGAAGCGAGAAUGCCGGCGUAAGUAACGAUAAAGGGUGAGAAUCCCUUUCACCAAUUGACUAAGGUUUCCUGGGCAAGGUUCGUCCUCCCAGGGUUAGUCGGGACCUAAGGCGAGGCCGACAGGCGUAGUCGAUGGACAGCAGGUUGAUAUUCCUGCACCCGAGCACGCAGUGAUGCAAUGACGAAAACGGCUAUGCUCACCUCCGAUCGGAAGUGGAGGGCAGAGCGUAGGAGUCGAUUCCUUGUUAAGUACGGGAAUCAUUAAGACAAAGACGUGCGGUAUGAAAGUCGCGAGACGAGUAAGAAACAGCAGACGCCGAUUUCCAAGAAAAGUUGCUAACGUUAAACGUGUUCGGCCCGUACCGAGAACGGACACACGUGGUCAAGGAGAAUAUCCUGAGGUGAGCGAGAUAACUGUUGUUAAGGAACUCUGCAAAAUAACUUCGUAAGUUAGCAAGAAGAAGUGCUCCAGCGAUGGAGCCGCAGCGAAUCGGCCCAAGUAACUGUUUACCAAAAACACAGCUCUAUGCUAAGUCGCAAGACGAUGUAUAUGGGGUGACGCCUGCCCGGUGCCGGAAGGUUAAAAGGAGAGGUUAGGAGCAAUCCGAAGCUUUGAAUUGAAGCCCCGGUGAACGGCGGCCGUAACUAUAACGGUCCUAAGGUAGCGAAAUUCCUUGUC